AGUGAACGCUGGCGGUAGGCCUAACACAUGCAAGUCGAACGGCAGCACAGUAAGAGCUUGCUCUUACGGGUGGCGAGUGGCGGACGGGUGAGGAAUACAUCGGAAUCUACUUUUUCGUGGGGGAUAACGUAGGGAAACUUACGCUAAUACCGCAUACGACCUACGGGUGAAAGCAGGGGAUCUUCGGACCUUGCGCGAUUGAAUGAGCCGAUGUCGGAUUAGCUAGUUGGCGGGGUAAAGGCCCACCAAGGCGACGAUCCGUAGCUGGUCUGAGAGGAUGAUCAGCCACACUGGAACUGAGACACGGUCCCGACUCCUACGGGAGGCAGCAGUGGGGAAUAUUGGACGAUGGGCGCAAGCCUGAUCCAGCCAUACCGCGUGGGUGAAGAAGGCCUUCGGGUUGUAAAGCCCUUUUGUUGGGAAAGAAAAGCAGCAGGUUAAUACCCCGCUGUUCUGACGGUACCCAAAGAAUAAGCACCGGCUAACUUCGUG
rnacentral:rRNA from 1 species